rnacentral:rRNA from 1 species
GAUGAACGCUGGCGGCGUGCCUAAUACAUGCAAGUCGAGCGAACAGACGAGGAGCUUGCUCCUCUGACGUUAGCGGCGGACGGGUGAGUAACACGUGGGUAACCUACCUAUAAGACUGGGAUAACUUCGGGAAACCGGAGCUAAUACCGGAUAAUAUAUUGAACCGCAUGGUUCAAUAGUGAAAGACGGUUUUGCUGUCACUUAUAGAUGGAUCCGCGCCGCAUUAGCUAGUUGGUAAGGUAACGGCUUACCAAGGCAACGAUGCGUAGCCGACCUGAGAGGGUGAUCGGCCACACUGGAACUGAGACACGGUCCAGACUCCUACGGGAGGCAGCAGUAGGGAAUCUUCCGCAAUGGGCGAAAGCCUGACGGAGCAACGCCGCGUGAGUGAUGAAGGUCUUCGGAUCGUAAAACUCUGUUAUUAGGGAAGAACAAAUGUGUAAGUAACUAUGCACGUCUUGACGGUACCUAAUCAGAAAGCCACGGCUAACUACGUGC